rnacentral:rRNA from 1 species
GACGAACGCUGGCGGCGUGCUUAACACAUGCAAGUCGAACGGGAAGGCCCGGCUUUGGGGGGGUGCGCGAGGUGCGAACGGGUGAGUAACACGUGGGUAACGUGCCCUUGACUUUGGGAUAACUUCAGGAAACUUGGUGUAAUACGGGAUAGGAUCUCCUGCUGCAUGGUGGGGGUGGGUAAGUUUCGGCGGUUGGGGAUGGACUCGCCGCUUAUCAGCUUGUUGGUUGGGUAGUGUGUGAGCAAGGCUUGGACGGGUAGCCGGCCUGAGAGGGUGACAGGCCACAUUGGGACUGAGCUACGGCCCAGCCUCCUCCGGGAGGGAGCAGUGGGGAGUAUUGCAUAAUGGGCGGAAGCCUGAUGUAGCACAGCCGCGUGGGGGAUGACGGCCUUCGGGUUGUAAACCGCUUUCGCCUGUGCCGAAGCGUGAGUGACGGUAAUGGGUAAAGAAGCACCGGCUAACUCCGUG